UCCUUCUCGUACAAGCAUUGUGUUAAAAUGGUAGAAACUGCUAGCAGAGUGCAUGCAAGACGGCGAGCAGGACUGUGCUGGGUCUGGAAAGGCGGAGGUGGACCCCUCACUUAAUGUCCAGUGUCCUUUGUCUUACAAUUUGGUGCGAUAAAU